AUCCUGGCUCAGGAUGAACGCUGGCGGCGUGCUUAAUACAUGCAAGUCGAACGAAGCACUUAUGACAGAUCCCCUCGGGGUGAAGACGUUGUGACUGAGUGGCGGACGGGUGAGUAACGCGUGGGUAACCUGCCUUAUGCAGGGGGACAACAGUUGGAAACGACUGCUAAUACCGCAUAAGCGCACGGCACCGCAUGGUGCAGUGUGAAAAGAUUUAUCGGCAUAAGAUGGACCCGCGUCUGAUUAGGUAGUUGGUGAGGUAACGGCCCACCAAGCCGACGAUCAGUAGCCGACUUGAGAGAGUGAUCGGCCACAUUGGGACUGAGACACGGCCCAGACUCCUACGGGAGGCAGCAGUAGGGAAUAUUGCACAAUGGGGGAAACCCUGAUGCAAGCGACGCCGCGUGAGUGAUGAAGUAUUUCGGUACGUAAAGCUCUAUCAGCAGGGAAGAUAAUGACGGUACCUGACUAAGAAGCCCCGGCUAACUACGUGCCAGCCGCCGC
rnacentral:rRNA from 1 species